AGUGAACGCUGGCGGUAGGCCUAACACAUGCAAGUCGAACGGCAGCACAGUAAGAGCUUGCUCCUACGGGUGGCGAGUGGCGGACGGGUGAGGAAUACAUCGGAAUCUACUUUUUCGUGGGGGAUAACGUAGGGAAACUUACGCUAAUACCACAUACGACCUACGGGUGAAAGCAGGGGAUCUUCGGACCUUGCGCGAUUGAAUGAGCCGAUGUCGGAUUAGCUAGUUGGCGGGGUAAAGGCCCACCAAGGCGACGAUCCGUAGCUGGUCUGAGAGGAUGAUCAGCCACACUGGAACUGAGACACGGUCCAGACUCCUACGGGAGGCAGCAGUGGGGAAUAUUGGACAAUGGGCGCAAGCCUGAUCCAGCCAUACCGCGUGGGUGAAGAAGGCCUUCGGGUUGUAAAGCCCUUUUGUUGGGAAAGAAAAGCAGCAGGUUAAUACCCCGCUGUUCUGACGGUACCCAAAGAAUAAGCACCGGCUAACUUCGUG
rnacentral:rRNA from 1 species